AAAAGGAAGUAAGUGACUGAUCAGCAACACAGAGGCAACUGAACACCCUGGCAAGUGUGCAGGGAAAGGAGAAAAGCAAGAGCUAAGAAGAGGUCAAAGGGUUGGAAGACACUCGUGGAGGAGAUGCCUGGCUCUGAACUGCAGUUUGAUUUUAUAUGCUGUGGGACUGAUCUUUCUCAUACUUCCUGCACUGUGGACAUGCGGAAAGUAGCUUACAAAGCAAACUGGCCCCGGAGCUUACUCUGAGGAUGGAAGUCGUACCUGAAGAUGGGGUUUUCAGUGCUGGGAGCCUCACUUUUGUUGAGACUGGACUCCUCAUCUCUGGAUUUAGAAGAACUGAUUUUAUUCUGUUAAAAUCAUUGCUAGUUUGUGAUUUCCAGGUAAACAUAACCAUAACGUAUGCUGACAGCUGCCACAGCUUUUUCUUUGAGUCUCUGAUCCAUAUUUCCUUGAUGUCUGAUGAGCAUCUCAGAAUUAUUUUUCCCAACCUUAAGUUUUUACCUCCGUCCAUGCCCCUCCUCUUGUCAGCCUCCUGCUUAGCCCUUCCGAGAGUUCUGCCGCGCCGGCCUGGCUCUGGGUACACAGCGCCAGGCUCCUUGGCCACCAUCCCACCAUCCCACCAGUGCUGCUCUCUGCCCCACUGUCACACUCCAGGAGUACACAGCUCAUGGUUUCUGGGAAUUUUCACACCUCUGUGGUUUGUUUGAAUAAUUCCCUCUGCUUGGAGCUUUUCUCUCUUCUGCCCUUUGCCUCUCAUAGAUAUUUUUCUUUUGCAUAGUGUGUGUUGUCCCCGCCUUAGUUUACCUUUGUCUCCACCACCCCUUGCUGGACUUCUGGCCCCACCUCGGUGGGCUAGCUGAUCCUCCCCACUCGCCACGCUGGUUUUCAGCAAGAAGGACCUGGACAAAUGGGAGAAGAGGUUGAAAGGGAAAGGAUGGAGAGCCGCUGGAUUUCACAUGUGCGAGGACAGGAUGUUCAGUUAAAUGUGAAUUUCAGAUUAAAAAUGAAAAAAAAAAAUUUAGAAACUGCUCCCCCUGUGAUAUUUGAAACAUGGUUAUACUGAUCAUUUGUGCUAUUUACUUGGAAUUUAAACUUGCGUGGGCAUCCUAUCUUUUAUUUGACAGUCUCAUAUGGAAGACACAGUAGCGUAUUUCUUACAUUUUCCUGUGUCUCUUUCUGUUGUCGCUUAAGCGACCAUUGCUGGUGAAGACCUGACCUGUUCUAAACUUGGCUGAGUUCUGCUGUGCUCCAGGCCUGCCCCAGAGCCACUUCCCAGUGCUGGGCUGGGCGUAGGUGGAGAGAGGAGAACGCCUUGGUAGGAGCUCCACCUGUCCGGGGUGCGUGCAGGGCCCGCUGCAGGCCUCCCCGACCCUGGGAGAGCGCUGUCUUCU